CCGAUAAGUAGACAAAAGUUGGUCCUGCCGAUCUGCCACAGAAUACAAACUUAUCCAGCCACAUGUUCAGGAAAGUGGUCGGUUCCUUGGCAUUGACGGGCCCUAUUCUUUGGUACUUCUGAAUGUACCCAGACCAACCGGCGAUAGCGUGAGUUUCCACCUUAGCACUAGGUUUGGUGUCAAAUAGGUGGCUGUUAUCGGCAGUGGAUAUAUCUAAGCCGGUGAGCAUAAGUACAUCGGCAAGUGUGGGAGAGGCAGGACCAUGGCCAAACACAAAAGCAUUGAGUGUGUCUGACCAAAAAUAUGAAGCAGCAAUCAGCAGUGACUCAUUCCUGUCCAUAUCGGCAAGAGACAAUCUAAUGCAUUGAUCUAACUUCCGUUCACCCCAUUAAACCUCAUUUGAAUUACUGACUCUCAGGAACCAAUCCUUCCAUCCUUUGGUAGGGCUGGGCCAGGAACAGAAGACAUCUUUCCAUAGAUCUAGAGAGAAGUUCUCGGCUCUAAAGGGGAUUCUGUUUGUCUCUGCGUUUAUGAAAUCGGUGGGAUCUGGGUUUCCUAGUGGACCAAGGCACUGGAGGUGAGGUUGAUCGGUAGGAAUCACGAUCUUGUCGGCUAAAUCCUAAAAGGUUUGGAGGGUGAAGAAACAAGAAGAAAAAAAAGGGAAAAAGAAAAGUACUCAGUAAAUAAAUUUGCGGAUGAACAGGAGUACAACGAAAGGGAUGAGAGUAGUAAGUUAACUUCGGGACGACGAAGUUGGCGGCCAUUUCUUCCUAGAGAAAGCGAAAAAUCAAAGACUUGAGGGUUGGUUGAAGGAAGUUCUUGCUGGAGAUCUUGGAGUCCUUGAACAGUGCUGCCGCUAGGAAAGAAGUGUUUGGGCUGUAGAAUGAUGCGAUGGAGGAGUACCCGAGAAGGAAGUAUUUAUAGG
rnacentral:lncRNA from 1 species